UUUUUUUGUUUCCAAUAGCAUUUCCUGGAAUAAACCAAAGCAACACUUGCCCAAGGCCUCAGGGAUGGAGAAGACCGGCCACCUCUUUGGCAGCCCUGAGAACAGCUGUGAGGCCCUGCUUAAAAGUCUGCUCCGUGACCUGGGAACUGCGCGUCCUCCAAACAAGCCAUGACAGAAGAAGGUGAACUGAAUUUGGAUGACAGCAUCUUCUCCUCCUCCCGGUCCCUUGCCCGGUCCCUUCCCGUGCUGUGUGCUUCCGCCAACACCAGAGGAGCCCGCUGGGAUUGGAUUGUGGAAAAGCCUCUAUCUAGUAGCAUUCAGCUCAGCUCAGCCAAGUCUCGGGAACGGCCCAAGUUUGUGCAAUAAGAAGACUUUUUGUUUUUUUUCCUUUUUAAAAGUUUUUCAAUACAUUUCCUUUUAAAUGUCUGUGAGAAAGUACCCAGGUCAGAUCGGAAUUUACUCUACCAUAGAAAUAACUGAACCCAAACAAACUGACAAAAAAAGAGAAAGAGUUAACUAUUUUAUUUAUUUCAAUAUUUAAAAAGAAAAAUGUGCUGACAUUGCACAGUAUUUUUGUUUAAAGUAUCUUCUACUUCAAAAGUUAAAAGCAAUUUUGUGAAGACGGGAAAUCAAAAGAGUACUUACUGUAAAAUAAAGACUGCAUAUUGACUCUAAAGGAGAACUAUCCCACACUUUCAAAUAAGGAAAUAAAGAUCAGCUCUGCUCUCUCAGGCUUUUUGAAAAGUCGUUCUUGUAUGUGCUUAAGGGACUUUUAUUUCUGCCAGUUGGAUGUGGUAAGUGCAGAGUGAUCAGAUUUUUUUUCUUCUUCUUCAAAUGUCUACUGGAAAGUGUUGGUGAUAUUAAAUAAUGAUGUGUUAAGACUUGACUGAAAUAAAUUAGACCCCAAUCAGCAGUGUUCAUGUCCCCACUGCCCCUCACCCCUGGUGAGUCCAUGGAUCUCAAUGGGAAGCUUCAGCCUACAUCGGGGCCAUCUUGUUUCAUGAGCCUGCUUCAGAAAGGAAUUCCCACCUGCAAGUUCCAACAGAUUUGAACAGAGACAACUUUGCUUAAAAUAAUACAGUGAAGAACAAAAAAAAAAAAUAAAAGAAUACAGCGAAAAUUAAGUAGUGGCUGAGAUAAAACUAG